rnacentral:rRNA from 1 species
CCUACGGGUGGCAGCAGUGGGGAAUAUUGGACAAUGGGGGGAACCCUGAUCCAGCCAUGCCGCGUGUGUGAAGAAGGCCCUCGGGUUGUAAAGCAAUUUCAGUGAGGAAGAACGCCUGGUGGUUAAUACCCAUCAGGAAAGACAUCACUCACAGAAGAAGCACCGGCUAACUCCGUGCCAGCAGCCGCGGUAAUACGGAGGGUGCGAGCGUUAAUCGGAAUUACUGGGCGUAAAGCGCGCGUAGGUGGCUUGAUAAGCCGGUUGUGAAAGCCCCGGGCUCAACCUGGGAACGGCAUCCGGAACUGUCAAGCUAGAGUGCAGGAGAGGAAGGUAGAAUUCCCGGUGUAGCGGUGAAAUGCGUAGAGAUCGGGAGGAAUACCAGUGGCGAAGGCGGCCUUCUGGACUGACACUGACACUGAGGUGCGAAAGCGUGGGUAGCAAACAGGAUUAGAUACCCUGGUAGUC